rnacentral:lncRNA from 1 species
CCGCUAGAGUUAAUUCCAUCAGAGAAGGAGGAGAAGAGGAAAGAAGAAGAAAAAAGGGGAAGAAAGAAAAAGGAAGGAAAAAUAGAAAAAAAAACCAUUGGACUUGUUUCAUUAUUUUCGGUUGGGCUUUUGUCUUUAUAGGUUUUUUACCUGAGUUUGGAAUGGUUAAAUCCAAUACAUUUGUUAGAUGAUUAUACGGGUUUUUAG